CUUUCUUUGCUGGCGACCGGCACACGGGUGAGUAACACGUAUCCAACCUGCCCUUUACUCGGGGAUAGCCUUUCGAAAGAAAGAUUAAUACCCGAUAGCAUAAUGAUUCCGCAUGGUUUCAUUAUUAAAGGAUUCCGGUAAAGGAUGGGGAUGCGUUCCAUUAGGUUGUUGGUGAGGUAACGGCCCACCAAGCCUUCGAUGGAUAGGGGUUCUGAGAGGAAGGUCCCCCACAUUGGAACUGAGACACGGUCCAA
rnacentral:rRNA from 1 species